GAAAAUCCUGGAAUUUUGGGAAAAGCGGGAUUUAAAAAAAAAAAAAGAUGAGUAAAUGAGUGAAUUGCUUGGUGUUGGAAUUGUUUAAAUCGGUCAAGAAAUGUUGAAUUAGUAACAGUUUUUGAUAGAGAAAUUCCUGGAAUUUCGGGAAAACCAGGAAUGUUUCUAGUUCCUUUACCAAGAAUGUAGUAUGAAUGUAAGAAGAGGUUGAAUGUUGGAAUUUCCAGGAAAACCGGAAUUAGGUUUGGAACUUGGGAAAGUGUCAGUUUGAAUGUCCAGGAUGAGUGGAAUGUGUUGAUGUUGGAAUGGUUUGAAUAGCUUGAAAAAUGUGGGAAUUGUGCAACUUGGAAAAAUGUCCCAUUCAUUUCAGUGGGAACUUCCUGGAAAUUUGGGAAAAGCGGGAUUUUUUUGAAAAUGAUUAGAAGCAUGAAUGUCCUGGAUGAGCUGAAUUGGUCUAAACAGUCGAGAAAUGUUGACGCGGUAA